GUGCCAGCCGCCGCGGUAAUACGUAGGUGGCAAGCGUUGUCCGGAAUUAUUGGGCGUAAAGCGCGCGCAGGCGGAUCAGUCAGUCUGUCUUAAAAGUUCGGGGCUUAACCCCGUGAUGGGAUGGAAACUGCUGAUCUAGAGUAUCGGAGAGGAAAGUGGAAUUCCUAGUGUAGCGGUGAAAUGCGUAGAUAUUAGGAAGAACACCAGUGGCGAAGGCGACUUUCUGGACGAAAACUGACGCUGAGGCGCGAAAGCCAGGGGAGCGAACGGGAUUAGAUACCCCGGUAGUCCUGGCCGUAAACGAUGGGUACUAGGUGUAGGAGGUAUCGACCCCUUCUGUGCCGGAGUUAACGCAAUAAGUACCCCGCCUGGGGAGUACGACCGCAAGGUUGAAACUCAAAGGAAUUGACGG
rnacentral:rRNA from 1 species